UGCCAGCAGCCGCGGUAAUACGGAGGGGGCUAGCGUUGUUCGGAAUUACUGGGCGUAAAGAGCACGUAGGCGGUUGAUCUAGUUAGGCGUGAAAGCCCUGGGCUUAACCCAGGAACUGCGCUUAAUACUGGUCAACUUGAGGCCGGGAGAGGGUGGUGGAAUUCCCAGUGUAGAGGUGAAAUUCGUAGAUAUUGGGAGGAACACCAGUGGCGAAGGCGGCCACCUGGACCGGUUCUGACGCUGAGGUGCGAAAGCGUGGGGAGCAAACAGGAUUAGAUA
rnacentral:rRNA from 1 species